GUUGUUAGGCUCUAUCACAUGAAGCUCACCGAGUACUUGGACGAGAUUAAGUCAGGCCGGGCUUUUGGCCCCAUUACGGCUGUGUUGUAUACCGUUGAGUUCCAGAAGCGGGGACUGCCUCACACGCAUAUACUUGUCUGGCGGAGAGGGGGUAACGAUGGCGAUGACUGAUCUGCAGGCUCUUCUUGUGGGGAACAAGAACCUGACCAUCCGUGUGUCUAACAUCUAUGCUGAGAUUGGGGAGAAGCUCGUGCCUAAGUUCAAUUGAGACAACCACAUCCAUGUUGUUUCUUGGCAUGGGAAACCACAUCUAUGCUGAUAUUGGCUCCUGGGCUCCUUUAUAGGUAUCUUGCUGUGAAGCUUGUGGUUGGCAU